AAUAACCUGUGGAGUUCGGAGGGGCGGAGCUAUGUACUACGGAAAGACCCGAGGCUCAAGUGCGGCCGGGUGGGUGGAGGGUCUGUGACCUGGAGGCCCGCCAGAGGGAGCUGGGUCUACAGCAAAGGGCACCGCUGGAAUUGCGGCUCUCCCACUGGGGUGCUGUGCCAAGGUGGACUGUUUCUAACAUCUCUGGCCUUCAGCUCCAAAAUGAGCGCGGUAAAGCCAUAUUGGAAUGAAAAUUACAACUAAGCGCCAAACAAGAUGCUGGGCACAGGUUCAAACAUGUGAGGUCAGCUCUCAGCCAAGAGAUACCCUCCCUGUUUUCAAAGCCUCAGAUAUACCCUCCCACAGCUCGGGACAGACAGCAGUGGUGGAAACCUUCCUCCACCAGGCAAGACGUGUCCUGACCUCCCACAAGCAGAAAAGUCAAGCAUGAAGGACAAGACCACUCCUAUGGAGGCUUCUUCUGUUUAUACCCCAUGAGGUCAUUCCCGCUUUCCAGCCCUUGGCCGUGAGUGAAAACGAUGAGCUGAAAAACCACAUGCAAUAAACAAGAAGGAGCAGCCAACAAAAUCUCUUAAAAUCUCAGAAAUGUUCAAUAAACAUUUGCAGAGUGAGAAAAUAAAUAA